rnacentral:rRNA from 1 species
CCUACGUGAGGCAGCAGUGGGGAAUAUUGCACAAUGGGGGAAACCCUGAUGCAGCAACGCCGCGUGAGUGAAGAAGUAUUUCGGUAUGUAAAGCUCUAUCAGCAGGGAAGAAAAUGACAGUACCUGACUAUGAAGCACGGGCUAACUACGUGCCCGCAGCCGCGGUAAUACGUAGGGGGCAAGCGUUAUCCGGAUUUACUGGGUGUAAAGGGGGCGUAGAGGGCUGCGCAAGUCAGGAGUGAAAGCCCGGGGCUCAACCGCGGGACUGCUUUUGAAACUGUGUAGCUAGAGUGCAGGAGAGGUAAGUGGAAUUCCUAGUGUAGCGGUGAAAUGCGUAGAUAUUAGGAGGAACACCGGUGGCGAAGGCGGCUUACUGGACUGUAACUGACGUUGAGGCUCGAAAGCGUGGGGAGCAAACAGGAUUAGAUACCCUUGUAGUC